AGGUCCCUGGCGGCAGCUCUGCUCACAGACCUUUGAUCUGCUCCCGGUGAGUUGGGCCUCUUUUCCCACCACUUGCACUGGGAAGAGCUGUUGUAAUUGGGCAUCGUGGCUGAAUGUCUGGAGACCAAAUGACAGCACGAGAAUUUAACAGGCAGGAGCCAUGAGGACCCCCCCCCAGUUCCCUGUGAAGCACCCCAAGGCUUUCAGUCAUCUCUCGGAAUUCAUGGCCGGCACUGCCUUGCUUUACUGUAUGGCCUGAGGAUGUACAGAGCCCACGUUCUGCCGCUUGAUGGUGUUACAUCCUGUUUAAGGAUUUUCAGCAGGUCCCCUCUUCCUGGGGGGCCUAACCGUGACCUCUGGGGCUCCUGGGGUGAGACCAUUCGGCCCACUCGCUGUCACCUCCAGCCCAGCGGCCCACAGGAAGCUCGGGAGAGGACGGUGGCGUCCACAGGGCCAUGGCCGUCUCACCUAAACCACAGUCGUUAGGCUCCGGUCGCCUCGUGCCCUGGACUUCGGCUAUGCAUGAGUGCUAGCAGCUGUAAAUCAGGAAUCGGUUUUCAUUACCUUGAUUAAGACAUCAUGACGUAUGUUGCUGUCCACACCCAAACACUAUCAUUAUAAUAUUCUUGGAGCAAAACCUGUCCCUGCAGAGUAAUGUAAACUGCUCACUGCACUUUCUUCACCUGGAUCAAAUCCCACUGAAAUCGACAUAUUACUUCCUCUGUUCUCACUGGGAAAUUGGUGGGAAUCUUACCCGAAAGCCGUUGGCCCACUGGGAAUAAAACACUGGCAGACGAAA